rnacentral:miRNA from 1 species
UUCCGCAAACCUGCCUCGGGUUACGGGGCCAUUUAAUCACUAAUCUCCCUCAAGCCAUGCUAUUACUUAUAAUAAUAGCAUGGCUUGAGGGAGAUUAGUGAUUAAAUGGCUCCGUAACCCUAAAACAUUUGCUUCAU